AACGAACGCUGGCGGCGUGCUUAACACAUGCAAGUCGCACGUGAAAACCUUUCGGGGUGAGUAAAGUGGCGCACGGGUGAGUAAUAUAUAGGAACGUGCCUCUUGGUGGGGAACAACCACGGGAAACCGUGGCUAAUACCGCAUAAGAUCGCGAGAUGAAAGGGGGCCGUCUACUUGUAAGCUCCCGCCGAUAGAGCGGCCUAUAUCCCAUUAGCUAGUUGGUAGGGUAAAGGCCUACCAAGGCAACGANGGGUAGCUGGUCUGAGAGGAUGAUCAGCCACACUGGGGACUGAGACACGGUCCAGACUCCUACGGGAGGCAGCAGUGGGGAAUUUUGGACAAUGGGCGCAAGCCUGAUCCAGCCAUGCCGCGUGAGUGAAGAAGGCCUCGGUUGUAAGUAC
rnacentral:rRNA from 1 species